UACGGGGGGAGCAAGCGUUGUUCGGAUUUACUGGGCGUAAAGGGCGCGUAGGCGGCGUGACAAGUCACUUGUGAAAUCUCCGGGCUUAACUCGGAACGGUCAAGUGAUACUGUCGUGCUAGAGUACAGAAGGGCAACUGGAAUUCUCGGUGUAGCGGUGAAUGCGUAGAUAUCGAGAGGAACACCUGCGGCGAAGGCGGUUGCUGGCUGACACUGACGCUGAGGCGCGAAGCUAGGGAGCGAACGG
rnacentral:rRNA from 1 species